rnacentral:rRNA from 1 species
GACGAACGCUGGCGGCGCGCCUAACACAUGCAAGUCGAACGAGAGGGAGGGAGCUUGCUUCCUUGAUCGAGUGGCGAACGGGUGAGUAACGCGUGAGGAACCUGCCUCAAAGAGGGGGACAACAGUUGGAAACGACUGCUAAUACCGCAUAAUGCAUCGGAUUCGCAUGUUUCUGAUGCCAAAGAUUUUAUCGCUGAAAGAUGAGCUCGCGUCUGAUUAGCUAGUUGGCGGGGUAACGGCCCACCAAGGCGACGAUCAGUAGCCGGACUGAGAGGUUGAACGGCCACAUUGGGACUGAGACACGGCCCAG